UACUUGCACCAUGUUGAAGAUUCCCUUGCAAGCUUUUUCCUCUGUAGUCUGCAUAAUUGUUUAAUAAACCGCUCUCUCCGGGACUUGAAACCUGGAUUUCCUGUAAUCUGCAAUAAAUUUGCAUAGUCUGGGAUUUGAACCCCAGACUUGGGUGUAGAAGCCUUUAAACCUUAACCAAUAGGCUACGGUGCUUCCACAAUAGUAACUAUUUAAAGUCGUAUAUAUAGAUAAAUAAGAAUGAAAUUACACUGAAAGUUGGGUCUACUUUGUCUGUCAAUAAUAUGAAUGAUGUUCAUUGAGUUAGGCCCAUAUCAUUAAUUGGACACGAUUGUCUGGAUAAUUAUUAGUCUGACCUUUGCUAUUGGGCUAAAAGAAAUUUAAGUGUUGAUCACAAACUUAAAGAGGUUAAUAAUACACACGUGACUUUUAUUUCAUUGCCGUCAACUGUCUGGUUUUCGACCCAUAGUGUUUUAGCUGAAACCUGAGACUCAAAUUAACCCAUGUUCGAUAAUACUUAUGGCAGAUUGACGUAUAUUUACAAGUAUUGGUUAAUAUAGCUAAUACAGAGACAUUGAUAAUUUUUGUCAUAUAUUAAUAUUGCAAAUAUUAUAUUGAAACUUAAAUUUUGACAAAUCCUACUAUACCGUCUAUGACUUGGACCUGAUAGGCACAUAACAUGCUUCCACAAAAAAAGAAUCAAAUAUUUUGUCUAAAUAAGCCUUGAUUUACUUUGUAAUUCUAUAAUUUUAAACAACAAUAAUUCUAUGACGAUGAAAAAGUGGGUCUCUCUCUCUAAAACCUCUCGAGAAAAAAAAGGAAAAAAAAAUUCUCCGAUCUUGCUUCCGGCGGCUGCUCUCCUCUUCGUCGUCGGAGGGCUUCUCAUCCCUUUUUCUCUUUCUUUUCCUUUGCGCUGCUCUCUCCUCUCUUACCCAUCUCUGAUAUGUGGUCGUCCCUAGAGCAAGAUCGUUCGCCGGCGGAGGAGCCUAGGCCGAAUCUGGUGGCCGCUUCGUCCCUCUGGUGACUUUGCGAGGAGGGUGUAGUGACGGUGGGAGGUAGGAGUUUGUUUCUGGGUAGGGUUUUCGUCCGGUCUCGCUUUGUAGAUCUCCGGCGAAACCCGUGGAAUUGCGGCGCGUGGCUUCGUAUGGUGGUUCCUUCGCCUCGGAUCUGUUCUUUCCCGGUGUUUUUCAUGUCAUUUGUUUUCCCAGCGAAGUGGCACGGCGGUCCAUGAUUCUCCAGCGCACGAGGCGUCUUGACGUUAGGUUUUGCGCAGCUCAAGGUGCAGUAGGUACAGUGUGGUUCCUCCUCUCUGGUGUGUCUGAGGCUUGGUCGGCUUCGUCGUGUGGUGUUCCGGCUGUGUCUUGCUAGACGCGUGCUUCCAUGGCUUGGGGUUUGAGUCGGAGUUGUCUAUGGCUUCGGCCCUUCCUGUGUUCAUGGUGCUUCCUUCUUGUCCUGGCCUCGGUGCUCUCCCUAAUUUACCUCAUGCUUUCUUCUUCCGGCUGCGUUUUAAUUGUCUUAGUUGUUCCGGUUUGCAAGCCGGUCAGUUUCCUGGUUCUCAGGGACUGUCCUUGUCCGGCUGGCUCUUCCUCGCCGUGGGGUCUGCGGCUCAGGCGGAGCUUCGGGUUAACUUGGUUUGAGCUCAACUUCCCAGCACUAGAUUCAGUGGCACGCACUCUGUCUACUAGUGGUUGAGGCUCUUCCGGCUUGGUUUGAGGUUACGAUGUGUGUGUGUGGAGUGUGGAGUUUGCUGCUGUUUUUUUUGCCUGUUUUGUAUAGAUCUUCGAAUAAUAUUGCUCGAUGUUGUUGUAGUGGGAGUGCUAGACUGCAGGCUUGUCUGUCUUCGGGAUGGCUGAUGCUCAGGAAGUCUUCUUCGAGCUAUUCUUGGUUGGACCAAUCAUAAAGAACGGAUCAUCAGAGAGGCUAAAUUUUAUCGGGUUCUGACUCUCGGAUUAACUGUGGUACAGUUUUUUGUGGCAAACGGUAAGCGCGGAUUGGUCGACUCCUCUCGCUAGUAGUCCGGUUUGUUCGUUUGUCCCUGCUAGGCUUCAUCGAGUAGCUGUUUAGAUUUAUUUUAUUUGUUCUGCUUCUCGUUUCCAUAGUACAUCUGUCAAAAACAAGAAAAUUGGAAAUAAUAUCUUAACAUUUUUACUAAAAAAAGAAAAAAGUAGUAAAAUAAAAUAAAAGAAUCAAUAUUUUGUCUAAAUAAGCCUUGAUUUACUUUGUAAUUCUAUCACUACUAUAUAAAAUGGACUAUUUUAAGAGUUUCUAAGGGGUGCCAGAUGGGCAGAAAUAUUCCCCACCAAUCAAUCUGCCAGAUCAUUAUCCGAGUAACCAAAUCACGCCACGUCAGCUUCGCUAUAAAAUUCCCUUCUACGAGUUUGCUCAUAAAAUUAUUGGCCCGAUCUUAAUAAACUAUCGACGAUAUUGCUUGGGCUGAUUGGGCCCAUUAUCUUUCUCCGACCCCUUCCAACAAUAUGUCAACGUCGCGUAACUGUAAACCUAAAUUCCAGGACUCUGUAAAUCGCCUCGUAACGGAGCAUCAAUUAAUCGACUUAAUGAUCAUUAAACCAUUCUUCCCACUAAUUUUCUUUCAGUUCCCCUUCCUCUUUAUCCACGGGUAUUUUGAUAACCAACUCCUAUAAAUAGGAACGUCGUCUUCUUGCAACCCGUCCCUCUCUCCAUCUCAUUCCUUAAUCUCGCUGUUAAAUUCAUACUCAACAAUGGUUAUCUCCUACCUCCUCUUCUCCGACUUUAAAUCUAGCGUUGUGCUAAGAUCGUUGAUGCACGUGUUCUUGGCUUUUGGGAGGCUUAGAUCUUGGGAGUGGACAUGCUGCUCUUAGAUGAAAUGUCCACGACUCAUCCAAGGUUCCAUUAACCACAUUGCCUAAGCAACCUCACAAGGAGCAACCAUAACGUCAGACUAAUAUUGUGUACAUGGAGAUAUUCAACCAGGUAAGGCCGAAGAAUUUUAAAAUCUUAAUUACUCAUCUUGAUUUCACUUUCCCUAAUUAAUACACUGAGUUACUCAAUAGUUACUACAUGAACAAAUAGGAGAUGCAGCGACUCUUUCUACUAUGGAGAGCUAAAACUAUGGCAGCGAAUAGUAGCUCAAACCACUCGCAUUUUUGUGAGAAUUGCAAGUAUGUCUUCCUGAAUGUUUAGUAGAAUGGUGUACUAUACAUUAAAUACGAGAAAACCAUAUAUCUUAUUUAGUUAACUAAGAUUAAAUGGAGGUAUACAGUAAGGAUAUCAUUUUCGAAAUAGUAGAGCUAAUACAAAUAAUCCAGUGAAAACAUGCUGUCAGAAUGUUUAUUCUCAUGUAUAAUAUAACUUAAUCUCUCAUUUUGGCAUAUUUGCUACCAACAUACUUUUUAUUUGAGUAGGCAAGAAGCAUUUCCAGAAUCCUGUGAUACAACAUAGAAAGUCCAAGUCAUAAGGGCAUCAUUAUUGCAAGUCUUUUUGGUUAUGAUCUUAUAUAUAAAGGCUUUUUGCAUCAGUGAUGCUCUCCAAAGUGAACCUACAUAAAAUUAACCAAAUGACUGUUCUUACGAGGAUAUUUCAGUCAGUAGCUUUAAUUGUGCAGAGCAGUCUUUAUUUCAUAUAACACCAAUAUUGUUUAGCGUGUAAAGAAUAUUUAUCUUCACAAGACAAUGUGUAGAUAUUAACAAUUAAAGAAUUUUCUCUCUUUGUGAUGGAACAUCUAAAUGUGUAGAUAUUAACAAUUAAGGAAUUAUCCUUUGGGAGAACGGUAAGCAUGGCGUUCCACAUCUAAAUCGAAGAAUAACGUUAAAAGUUUGGAAACACCAAAGUAACUACGAAUACUGCAGGAGAAACAUUCGUCAGAUUGUUCAUCCCACGGCUUAUCAGCCAAUUGAUUUGUAUUAACUUUCAAAUUUGUAUUAAACAGACAAAUAUGCACCAGUUUACCUAUAUCUAAUUUUUUCAUCUCUGUGCGUUUAAAUAACUUGAUUACAUGUUCUCUACAAAUGGCCUCACUCCCUGUGCUCCCCUCCUCAUUUAUACGAAUUAGUCACUAUGGGUAGUGAAUUGUGCAAACUUUGCUGCUGCGGAAGGCAAACCGUAGAACCAAUUCCCUGAAACAAAAAAAUUAUUUGGAGGCUUUGACAAAAUGGUGAUAUGCAUGUAUCCUACACGAAGAUUGCAAUGUGCUGAUGAUAUGACAAUAUAUAUUACCAUGGAGUAUAUAUUCUAUUAAAACGAAGAAAUAUUGGUUAUAAAAAAGAAGAAGAAAUAUAUAAUAAAAACAACAUAAUGAUCACUGUUACAUGUUUUUAUAAGGUUACUUAUAUUUAUUUGAGAAAUAUAUAUUUUUUAAAAAUAAUUCAAAUGACAUCAUGUUCAGAAAAUAAAAUAUGAAUUAAAUGAGAUUAAAAAAACUCAUUUAAUAAUUUUAUAAAGCUUUGAAAUAGAUUAAAAGAAAGAGAACUUCUAAGUUGGAAAAUGUAUAAAAAAAUAUGAGGUUGUGGUUUGGUUGAGCUAAUCUGAUCAUUAAUACCUAAAAUAUAUAGAAUAUCAUAAUUUUUCUUGCUAAUGGGCAUUUAAUUAAAUAAUUUUAAUAAUUAUUUGUUAUAAUUUCUCUUAGAUUAAAAUAGCCUAAACAUUUUAAAAUAUUAAUUAAAAUUAAUGAUAUUUUUAGGUAAUUUUUUUGAAUAGUAACCCACCCGUAGGGCGGGCAAAACCUAGUACAAUACUAAAAGGCAAAUAUAAGCCAUGGAGAAGGUGUCCACGUAGGAUAUGAAAAUUAACCAAUCAGAGAGCCCGAAGUUCCCACGUCAUCUCAUUUAUUUUUUCGUAAAAAAU